rnacentral:rRNA from 1 species
CCUACGGGUGGCUGCAGUCGAGGAUCAUUCGCAAUGAGCGAAAGCUUGACGAUGCGACGCUGCGUGAACGAUGAAGGCCUUCGGGUUGUAAAGUUCUUUCGCGAUUGAACAAGAGAGGUGUGUGAAUAACACGCUAAUUUGAGGGUAAAUCGUAAAGAAGCACCGGCUAACUCCGUGCCAGCAGCUGCGGUAAUACGGAGGGUGCAAGCGUUAAUCGGAUUUAUUGGGCGUAAAGGGCGCGUAGGCGGAAAUUUAAGUCUGGUGUGAAAUACCGUGGCUCAACCACGGUGCUGCAUCGGAAACUAAGUUUCUAGAGGGUAGGCGGAGAAAACGGAAUUCCAAGUGUAGCGGUGAAAUGCGUAGAUAUUUGGAAGAACACCUGUGGCGAAAGCGGUUUUCUAGCUUAUUCCUGACGCUGAGGCGCGAGAGCAAGGGGAGCAAACAGGAUUAGAUACCCUAGUAGUC